rnacentral:rRNA from 1 species
UACGGGGGGAGCAAGCGUUGUUCGGAUUUACUGGGCGUAAAGGGCGCGUAGGCGGUCAGCACAAGUCAGUUGUGAAAUCUCCGGGCUUAACUCGGAAAGGUCAACUGAUACUGUGCGACUAGAGUGCAGAAGGGGCAACUGGAAUUCUCGGUGUAGCGGUGAAAUGCGUAGAUAUCGAGAGGAACACCUGCGGCGCAGGCGGGUUGCUGGGCUGACACUGACGCUGAUGCGCGAAAGCCAGGGGAGCGAACGGG